rnacentral:rRNA from 1 species
GGUAGAUCUCCCACCCUUUGUAUACCUUACCUUUGUUGCUUUGGCGGGCCGCCUAGCUACUGGCUUCGGCUGGUAAGUGCCCGCCGGAGAACCCCAAACCCAAACCAUUUAUAGUGUCGUCUGAGUAAAAUUUUAAUAUUUAAAACUUUCAACAACGGAUCUCUUGGCUCUGGCAUCGAUGAAGAACGCAGUGAAAUGCGAUAAGUAAUGUGAAUUGCAGAAUUCAGUGAAUCAUCGAAUCUUUGAACGCACAUUGCGCCCCUUGGUAUUCCGAGGGGCAUGCCUAUCCGAGCGUCAUUAUCACCCCUCAAGCUCCGGCUUGGUGUUGAGGCCUGCUGUAAAGGCACCCUCUAAAAUCAGUGGCAGUGCUGUCGGGCUCUAAGCGUAGUAAUUCUCUCGCUAUAGGGUCCUGGUGGACACUCGUCAGAACCCCCCCAUUUUUUAAUGAUUGACCUCGGAUUAGGUAGGGAUACCCGCUGAACUUAAGCAUAUCAAUAAGCGGAGG